UUUCUUACUCACAAAUGUUUUACAGCUUUCCAGUAUCUGUCUUCACUCAGCUCAUCCGCCCACAGUCUUCAGCCUUGCAUGACUCCUGUUGUGAAACUAUCUGCCACCAGCACAAGGAAAUCAGAACACAGACAUCACUCAUGCAGUAGUUUUCCACUCAUCGUAUUCCAAGACAGUUCAGAAGCUCACAGCAAUUAAUGUCAGCUUGAGAACAAAGUUGAACCCUCCAAACACUGAAAACCAUGGCUCGACACCACGUUUUCCAGCAAACAGUGAGGAAACUGGACAGAGGAUGGGCUCUCGGACAGAGCUACUCGAGAUUAUCUGUGAGACUUGCAACAUACCUUGAGGAAAUUAAGCUUCAUACUCUUGGAAUGGAGGAAAUGGUGGAGGAAACAACCCUGGCACCAUGGGAAAUACUGCUGGUCAUUUGUGCUACAGUGCUGAUCAUGAGCUUCCUUAUGGUCCUCCCCCCUGCAGUAGUGGUGAUCUGGCGGAUGAAGCGUGUGCCUCAGAUCUCACUGCAUGGCUCAGUGUAAGCCAGACACACAUUCUUUCAAAGGCUGCUUCAGAACUAUGAAAUCUGUCAGGAUCACCCUUUCUGCUCAAGGUCCAUCCCAAACUCACUGUUUUGCCACUCCGUGUUAAGUCCCAGUAAAAAGAGAAUGUGUCAAAUUUUCUUCUCAUUUGAUGCAGCGCUUUGCCUUCUGUUUUCUGUCUACACCAUACUGCUAUUGGUAAUGUAAGUAAUAUAGAUACUUAAUUCCUACGUUGUCGUCAUCUCUUUCACUAUAAUGAAGUGAAAACAAAAACAGAACUCCUUAUUGAAAAGUAAGACUGUACAGUAUUGUAUUCCCUUAACUAAUAACCAGUAAAGUCUGCCUCUCCAUUGUUAAACUGCAAAUAUUACAAAGCCUUUGAUAUCAUUGACAAGUUGUGGAUGUAUCAAAGCAAGCAAUAUAGUCUGGGGAACUGGUUUAGUCUGGUUGUACUGUGAAACCUACAAAAAUGUGGAACGGUGCAAAAAAGAAGCAUCUUGUUCUUAUUUUUGUGAUUUGAAAUUGUUGGCAUAUAAUGUUUCUUGUUGCUUUACUGCAAUAUGAAUAUUCUUCUCUUUGCUAAAUCUUGAGUGUCAGAAUGCAAAGCCCUUCCCGCUCCAGGGCUGGAACAAGAGGCUUAGCCCAGUGCUCAGACAUGCCCAGUCAGAUGCCAGCUCAUAGUUAAUAUAAACAUACAGCAACUAUUUCCCUAAAUUACAUUAUGCAAAUUUAGUCUGGGAAGUAAUGUCAUUAAAUUUACUUUAGUUUUUAACUGUGUUGUACAGGCUUAUUGGUUCAGCUGCCCCUUUUCACAUAUAAGUAAAAAAUUGGAUGGUGGGAAUAGAACAAAACUCUGCCAUUUUAUAACAAUAAUAAUUUUUAGCUUAAUAUCAAAUUCAUGCAAUAUCAUAUUAAAGCUUUCCAGCCUGAUCUUCCACAUUAAGUGAAGCUUAUUAGUAAGAUUUUUUAUGCAAAUAUUUAACAGUUUCUAUUACUUUACAAGAAGAAUGGGCAUGAGUUCCUUAUGAAGUCCAAUACUGUGUUUCUUUCCUUUGUUAGUUGGUUUGGAAAGUUGCUAGAUUAGCUCAAUAAAACUACAGAAAAUUGUUUUUAGUACCAGUAGAAAAAUGAUAAUGGAAAGUGCUCAGUGCUUCAGACAGAAAAUGCAUUUGAGCAUCAGCUGAUAAUGAUUUGGCUGGAAAUGAAAGACUCAAGGACAUUAUAAUUUUGUUUGAUACUGACAAUUUCUUUGUCAAAAAUAAACACCAAUCUCUGAAAAACAUUUGCUUUUCUUUAAGACUACAGCAUUUUUCUCACAAAUGCCGUGACUCAAACUACAGCCUUACAGUUCCUAUGCAGACAAAGCAGCCAACUCAUCCUUUGCUUGAUGUAAUUGCUACACUAACAAAUAGUCAUAUGACUAGCUGGUUCCGAGCCCAAAAACAACGGGAGGAUUUUUGCUUGCAAUAACUGCAUUCUAAGCCUGAAAGGCAGUGUGUAAUUUUUCCUAAAUAAUAUUACUUAAUUGAAUCAAUUAAGCAAUUAAUGGGGAUUAAGUUCAAUUAAACAUCGUGUAUACUGUAAUUGCUGUCUGUGUCUGAAAGAUUCACAAGGAUAAGGAGAAGGUAAAGAGAAAGGAAACGCGAACAGAUGGGCUGGUUGUCUUCAGACUCAUGGCUUCAAUGUUUGCUCAACAGAUGAAAAGUAAAAGAAAACCCCAAGCUCAGAUUCCACUGAAAAAACCAAGCAAGCAAUAACUAAGCUUUCUGUUUAGCUUUCAUCAUAAUUCACAUACACAUCUGCUCUGUAGCAACAGCUCCACAAAUAAACUGCAUUUCCAGUGCUAUGUUGUCCCUGGUCUUUACCCAUGUUAAAUGCCAGGUGACCAAAAACCAGGGCUUUCUGCUCUUUAUGCUUAGUUCUUUGUAUCUUUGGGUUUCCAGUGUACUCACGGGCAUUACUGAUGUGUAAGGACAUGUCAAAGAAGGAGCACUUGCAGAAGGAAGUGAAGUGGAAGCAGGAACAAAUAAUUUUAUAUUUCAUUAUAAGAAUAAAUUACAAAAAUCA